GUUGGCCAUCUGCACACCUCCCUUGGAAAAAUGUCUACUCAGGCCUUUUUGUUUGGCUGAAAUUUUGGUGAUCACAUCUUUGAAGUGAAAGAGUCAGCUCCCAGAGAUCAUUGGUUCUGCCUCUGGCCUCCAGAGGGCGAUGCUGCCCAAAAGAGACAUUUGUUGUUGCUGCAAAUCAUCCCUGUCUGCUGAGCCCCUCCUCCUGCAGCUGGCUGCUGGGUCCUCACUGAUGUCUGGAUAGGAACCUGUGAGAAGACUCUGAGGCCAAACAGGAUACAAACUCAUGAAGAGAAAGACUCUUUCUAAAAGUUCUUGUUAAAGCAAGGGUCCUGUCCAGGGCCCCCUUCCCAUUCUUAAGGCUCUGAAGGCUCAGUGACAGGGCUGUGGUCUUACCUGCUCGGGAGCCUGCAGCAUUCCCACGGCUCAGCCAUGCUCCUGCUGCUCAUCCCAGUGCUUGAGAUGGCUUUUGGCCUGAGAGGAGUUGGAGCCCAGUCAGUGACCCAGGCUGACGGCCACAUGGACACCGCUGUCCCUGAAGGAGACCCUGUGGAGCUGAGGUGCAAGUAUUCCUCUUCUGUCCCACCCUAUCUCUUCUGGUACGUGCAGUACCCCAACCAAGGACUCCAGCUUCUCCUGAAGUACACGUCUGGAAAUAGCUUUGUUUCAGGCAUCAGAGGCUUUGGGGCUGAAUUUAGGAAGAAUGAAACCUCCUUCCCCCUGAGGAAAACAUCAGCCCAUUUGAGUGACUCGGCCAAGUACUUCUGUGCUCUGAGUGACACAGUGACCGAGACUGCAGGGGGAGCUGAACACAAAUCUCUGAGACUGUGGGACUUCUUGUGACUCGAGAGAGAGCUUUCAAAAGGGUACUUUUUUUCUUUGAAGGCAAAUAGGGCGGGAUGGGCUGGGCCCUGGGGAAUGCUUGUCUCUGGAGUAGGUGCUUCAACAUCAAUGCUGUGCCACAUUCAGAUAGACGUUCUAUGGGAUGGAGGUCUUCUAAUGAACUUCUCCAGAGGGCUGCUCCCACCCACUCCCCACCCCUCUCUCACAUUCAAGAAAAGACUGCAGAAAGUCUCAGAGUCUGGAAGCCAAAGAGGUGUAGUGAAAAGGGACUUUUACUUUUUAAAAAAAAUCGCUUCUAGCACUCACUCUGAUAAUGAGCAGAGCCUCGGGUACUGCACAAUGUGUGGAAAACUGAAGUACUCGGUUAGAGUAUUAAUGGACAGGAUGUAAAUUCACAAAUAGGUCAACUUGUACAGCAUGUGUUCUCAAUGAGUGUUGUGUAGAUUCUCAACCAAAAUUUGAAGCUUACCUUCCAGCACAUACAUAAUGUGUCAUUGUGUGAUACAGGCUUAUUUUAAUCAGCUGUCAAAAUACCCAGAGUUCCAAUUUUGUAUUACAUAAAAGCAAUGAGUAAAUUGAAUCUGGAUCUUAAUGGAGGAUUGAAAAUAUAAACAUACAAAAACCACCCACUUGUAACUGUUUUGGAAACAGUGCUGCAGUUAUUUCCAAUAUAAGCUUCUUGCAUAUAUAGUCCUCUGAUAAAUCUGGUUUGCUGGGGAGGGUAGGAUGGAAAGACAGAGAGCGUGAUACCAGACCCCUAACUUUUGGAGAUUAACCCCUAGAUGCCAGGGCUGUGUACAAGAAGAGGGACUAAGAGGAACUAGGCCCAGGGCCAGGUGCAUUGGGGUUUCUUGACAGUCUAGGUACCGAAGGGGGUGCAGGUCCAUCUCUAUCGCACCACCACUGCUACUAGUAUUAGCACCAGGACUACCAGCAACCAAAGGCAGCACUGUUGCAAUACAGAUGUGUUGUGGGUGUAAAAUGGAGUGAAGAAUCUUGAGCGCCUCUGGUCCCUGACCUGAUGAAGAACAUAUGCUCGGGUUGUGAGCUGGAAACAUGCUUGUUCAGUCAGAUUUAAGGCCACUGUGUUUGGAGAGGAUUGUUCUGAGUUGGAAUGGAUUUCUGUCAAAAUUGGAAGUAGGGGAAUGUGAGAGGAGGUGUCUAGCCUGAUGUGGAGAAGAGCUACACAAUCUCGUUUCUCCAUGCAUCACAGGAGCCUGUCCUAGACUUUUCCCGUGGAAUGCUUGAGGACGGACUUCUCGGUGUGGGAGAGUGGCCAUUGCAAAACUGCUUUUGUGUAGAUGGUGUUAUCAUCUGAUGGAAAACACAUACAUAGAUACAUCAUCCUCUCCUCACACACACUGGCUUAGACCAUACUCUUCUGGAAUUUCUCAUUUGCUGAAAUGUCAGGUUUUUAAUUUCAUCAGUUCACUGAUGAGGAUCUGUAUUCUGAAUGUAUCUUUAAUCACUGGCUUGAAGCCACAAGAUGGCAGUGUUUUUACAGGGACUCUGAGGAAAGCUCUCAAGUAUUUCUGUGUGUGUGUGUGUGUGUGUGUGUGUGUGUGUGUGUGUGUG